rnacentral:rRNA from 1 species
UACGUAGGUCCCGAGCGUUGUCCGGAUUUAUUGGGCGUAAAGCGAGCGCAGGUGGUUUAUUAAGUCUGGUGUAAAAGGCAGUGGCUCAACCAUUGUAUGCAUUGGAAACUGGUAGACUUGAGUGCAGGAGAGGAGAGUGGAAUUCCAUGUGUAGCGGUGAAAUGCGUAGAUAUAUGGAGGAGCACCGGUGGCGAAAGCGGCUCUCUGGCCUGUAACUGACACUGAGGCUCGAAAGCGUGGGGAGCAAACAGG